GACGAACGCUGGCGGCGUGCUUAACACAUGCAAGUCGAGCGGUAAGGCCCUUUCGGGGGUACACGAGCGGCGAACGGGUGAGUAACACGUGGGUGACCUGCCUUUAGCUCUGGGAUAAGCCUGGGAAACUGGGUCUAAUACCGGAUACGACUCCGCGGUGCAUGCUGUGGGGUGGAAAGCCUUGUGCGGCUGGAGAUGGGCCCGCGGCCUAUCAGCUUGUUGGUGGGGUGAUGGCCUACCAAGGCGACGACGGGUAGCCGGCCUGAGAGGGCGACCGGCCACACUGGGACUGAGACACGGCCCAGACUCCUACGGGAGGCAGCAGUGGGGAAUCUUGCGCAAUGGGCGAAAGCCUGACGCAGCGACGCCGCGUGAGGGAUGAC
rnacentral:rRNA from 1 species